ensembl:ncRNA F32B6.14 ncRNA
AGCUCCAUUUUUGUAUAUUACUAAACGUAUUCAGUUCACUUCCAAAUUGAAAGCACAAAAAUGAAUUUUGUUCUUGUCUCACUAACAAUGGAUUUGGUUGUGUUUGUGAUGCUAAACAAUGAACAAAAAGCCCAGCGAGAGAGUGUGUCAGUGUUAGAGACUUUGAUAUUUUGGGAGGAAAACUGUGUAAACUGGUACGGACG